rnacentral:rRNA from 1 species
UACGUAGGGUGCGAGCGUUGUCCGGAUUUAUUUGGGCGUAAAGAGCUCGUAGGCGGUUUGUCGCGUCGGCCGUGAAAUCUCCACGCUUUAACGUGGAGCGUGCGGUCGAUACGGGCAGACUUGAGUUCGGUAGGGGAGACUGGAAUUCCUGGUGUAGCGGUGAAAUGCGUAGAUACCAGGAGGAACACCGGUGGCGAAGGCGGGUCUCUGGGCCGAUACUGACGCUGAGGAGCGAAAGCGUGGGGAGCGAACAGG